GACGAACGCUGGCGGCGUGCCUAAUACAUGCAAGUCGAGCGCAGGAAGCCGUCUGAACCCUUCGGGGGGACGACGGUGGAAUGAGCGGCGGACGGGUGAGUAACACGUAAAGAACCUGCCCAUAGGUCUGGGAUAACCACGAGAAAUCGGGGCUAAUACCGGAUGUGUCAUCGGACCGCAUGGUCCGCUGAUGAAAGGCGCUCCGGCGUCGCCCAUGGAUGGCUUUGCGGUGCAUUAGCUAGUUGGUGGGGUAACGGCCCACCAAGGCGACGAUGAAUAGCCGACCUGGGAGGGUGAUCGGCCACACUGGGACUGAGACACGGCCCAGACUCCUACGGGAGGCAGCAGUAGGGAAUCUUCCACAAUGGACGAAAGUCUGAUGGAGCAACGCCGCGUGAACGAUGAAGGCUUUCGGGUCGUAAAGUUCUGUUGUAAGGGAAGAACAAGUGCCGCAGGCAAUGGCGGCACCUUGACGGUACCUUGCGAGAAAGCCACGGCUAACUACGUGCCAGCAGCCGCCGUAA
rnacentral:rRNA from 1 species